GUCAAAAACCAAAUAUAUCCUGAGGCUGACUUUGCUGACUCAAUGGAGCCAUCUGAAAUAGCCUCAGAGGAUUGUGAGUUGUCUCACUCUGUUUAUGAGAAUUUUAUGUUGCUGAUUGAACAACUUAGAAUGGAGUGUAAAGGCAAGAAGAUAAAUCAGUACUUGCUGUCCAUCGUGACCAGAAGCAGAUUCCAGCAGAGCUUCAGCACCUGCUGUCGACUGAUUCUGUUAGCCUACCAAGAAUCCAAGACACAUUUUGUUUGUGUGAACGCUUACUGAAACUUAAGAAUAAUCACUGUGACCAACUUACAGUAAAAAUUAAACAAAUGGAAAAUGUGGUCAGUGUACUACAAAAUGAGCUAUCUGAAACAAAAAAGACAAAAUUACAGUUAGAACUUCAAAAAAUUGAAUGGGAGAAAGAGCUGUACAAUUUGAGGUAUGACGUUCUAGUUCUAAAGAAAUAUUUAUACUAAAGACAAUAUAUCAGAAUUUUUGUAAUUGCUGACUUACCUUCUGCAGAUUAAUGGGGAGAAACCUUUUUGGUCUUGUGGAAUAUGAAAUUCUUGGAAAUAAUAAAACAAAUUAUUAAC
rnacentral:sRNA from 1 species